AGUAAAUAGAUACCCGGGUAGUCCACGCCGUAAACGAUGAGUACUAGGUGUAGGAGGUAUCGACUCCUUCUGUGCCGCAGUUAAACACAAUAAGUACUCCGCCUGGGAAGUACGGUCGCAAGAUUAAAACUCAAAGGAAUUGACGGGGGCCCGCACAAGCAGCGGAGCAUGUGGUUUAAAUUCGAAGCAACGCGAAGAACCUUACCUAGACUUGACAUCUCCUGAAUAGUGUAGAGAUACAUGAAGCCCUUCGGGGCAGGAAGACAGGUGGUGCAUGGUUGUCGUCAGCUCGUGUCGUGAGAUGUUGGGUUAAGUCCCGCAAG
rnacentral:rRNA from 1 species